GUGUCAGACUUGCAGGGUAGUCCUUCAUGGCUGCGACUGUGGUCCGCAAUGUGUUUGUGUAUGGAUCAUUGCUCGCGCCCGAAGUGCUUACCGCGCUCUUGCACCGAGUUCCGCCUGCAUCACUUGCUGUCGUACAUGACUACUAGAAAUCAUCUUCUUCUUGAUUAAAGCGCUACAAUCCAUAUUAGGAGGUUUUGGUACCCCAACAAAAGAUUAGGGAAUUUCAAGGGCGAAUGCUGUGCUUCAAUGGCGGCCGUAGUUUGUCACUUGAAUUAUUGCUGCAAUAUCUCGGUGUUCAUCUAGGUUGCCAACUUAUGUAAAAGUUGUUGGCUCCACCCUUUUGUCAGGAUGCUAGGAUAGACAUCUUAUUGCUUCUCAAUAUUUCGACCUUUUGUUAAGUGGUGAAAUAUAUUUCAUUUCAGUACUUGACAGUAUUCUUGGGUCCGAAAUUGGUGGCAGCCAUCGGUUCAGCAUCAAGAACCGCAUCUAUCCGGCCGUAUUGCCCAGCAAAGGUGACAAAGUAUUUGGAAAGGUAUUGUUCGAUCUGAGCGACCAGGAGCUACAUAUUCUGGACGAAUUUGAAGAUAUUGAAUAUACCAGAUUGAUAGUAUCGCCACGCAUUCUGAAUACGCUUGGUGCUGAUGGAGAACCAGUGGUCGGUACACAAGUUGGCGAUGCACAGGAAUUGAUAGGCUCCAGGUGUUUGGAGAAAGUAGGGACUAGCCAGGCAGAUACCGUGGAAAUUGGAGACGAUGCUGUUGAAAUAUCCCCAGGUCACGCGGCUGGACUUGGACUUACGACGGAGGUGACAGCAUAUAUGUACAUUUGGGCCGACCAGGGAGAUCCUGAUCUUGUAGGAGACUGGGAAUAUGAGGUGUGGAGAGCCAAUCAUCUCAAAUUGUUUCUAGCAAAAUAUGUAGGUUUUAGUAAUAUUAGUAACAGCAUUGAUGCAGCGCCAUGAUUUUGAAGCAACUAUCAUGACGAAAUGUGGGUAACUUCUGCGUAUCUAUCUGUGUAUAUAGGCUACUAAGUACUAAGUUCAAGUACCCAUUAUGUAAGUUGUGCGGCCUGAUGGAAAUGUGUAGGAAUGGGCAAGGACCUAUUUGGAGGAUUACGUGAAGAUGUGUGAGGAAUUUGAAUCUGAGCUGAGCAAAAUUUGAGAUAUUGACAGUGUUGGCCAGUCAACUCACAGGACCAUCUGGCGUUUUUCUGUCUUGAAUCUGCUUUCAAGGCAAACAGAAAUAUGACAAAUUCAAUUUAAUUAGACAAAGCCAUUAUUUUUGAGUACUUGGAAGUUUUCCUAUGUGGAUUACCGUCCACGUUCAAUACGCACAAUUUAAGAGUAUUUUGUGUA